UACGUAGGGGGCAAGCGUUGUCCGGAAUCAUUGGGCGUAAAGAGCGCGUAGGCGGUCCGGUAAGUCCGCUGUGAAAGUCAAGGGCUCAACCCUUGAAUGCCGGUGGAUACUGUCGGGCUAGAGUCCGGAAGAGGCGAGUGGAAUUCCUGGUGUAGCGGUGAAAUGCGCAGAUAUCAGGAAGAACACCAAUGGCGAAAGCAGCUCUCUGGGACGGUACUGACGCUGAGACGCGAAAGCGUGGGGAGCGAACAGG
rnacentral:rRNA from 1 species